rnacentral:rRNA from 1 species
GACGAACGCUGGCGGCGUGCUUAACACAUGCAAGUCGAACGGAAAGGCCCUGCUUUUGUGGGGUGCUCGAGUGGCGAACGGGUGAGUAACCCGUGAGUAACCUGCCCUUGACUUUGGGUUCACUUCAGGAAACUGGGGAUAAUACCCGAUAGGAGCUCCUGCUGCAUGGUGGGUGUUGGAAAGUUUCGGCGGUUGGGGAUGGACUCGCGGCUUAUCAGCUUGUUGGUGGGGUAGUGGCUUACCAAGGCUUUGACGGGUAGCCGGCCUGAGAGGGUGACCGGCGCCAAGGGGACUAAGAGAGGCAGCAGUGGCCUACGGGAGGCAGCAGUGGGGAAUAUUGCACAGUGGGGGGAAGCCGGAUGCAGAAACGCCGCGGGUGGGAUGACGGCCUGCGGGUUGUAAACCGCUUUCGCCUGUGACGAAGCGUGAGUGACGGUAAUGGGUAAAGAAGCACCGGCUAACUACGUG